UACGUAGGUGGCAAGCGUUGUCCGGAUUUACUGGGCGUAAAAGGGCGUGCAGGCGGUUUGUUAAGUCUAGGGUGAAAGCUCCCGGCUCAACUGGGAGAGGUCCUUGGAUACUGGCAGACUUGAGGAGGGUAGAGGAGAGUGGAAUUCCCGGUGUAGUGGUGAUAUGCGUAGAUAUCGGGAGGAACACCAGUGGCGAAGGCGGCUCUCUGGGCCCCUACCUGACGCUGAGACGCGAAAAGCGUGGGGGAGCGAACCGG
rnacentral:rRNA from 1 species